rnacentral:rRNA from 1 species
UACGGAGGGUGCAAGCGUUAUCCGGAUUCACUGGGUUUAAAGGGUGCGUAGGCGGAUAUGUAAGUCCGUGGUGAAAUCUCUGGGCUUAACCCGGAAACUGCCAUGGAUACUAUGUGUCUUGAAUGUUGUUGAGGUGAGCGGAAUAUGUCAUGUAGCGGUGAAAUGCUUAGAUAUGACAUAGAACACCAAUUGCGAAGGCAGCUCACUAAGCAAAUAUUGACGCUGAGGCACGAAAGCGUGGGGAUCAAACAGGG